GAUGAACGCUGGCGGCGUGCUUAACACAUGCAAGUCGAACGAUGAAGCUGGAGCUUGCUCUGGUGGAUUAGUGGCGAACGGGUGAGUAACACGUGAGCAACCUGCCCCUGACUCUGGGAUAACAGCCGGAAACGGCUGCUAAUACCGGAUAUGCACCAUGAACGCAUGUUCUGAGGUGGGAAAGAUUUUUCGGUUGGGGAUGGGCUCGCGGCCUAUCAGCUUGUUGGUGAGGUAAUGGCUCACCAAGGCGUCGACGGGUAGCCGGCCUGAGAGGGUGACCGGCCACACUGGGACUGAGACACGGCCCAGACUCCUACGGGAGGCAGCAGUGGGGAAUAUUGCACAAUGGGCGAAAGCCUGAUGCAGCAACGCCGCGUGAGGGAUGACGGCCUUCGGGUUGUAAACCUCUUUUAGCAGGGAAGAAGCGAGAGUGACGGUACCUGCAGAAAAAGCGCCGGCUAACUACGUG
rnacentral:rRNA from 1 species